UGCCAGCGGUGGUGACGCCAAUAGCGACGACCAAAAUUGGGGUGGCAAGGCCCACCCCACUGGCAGGCACAGUCCGAGAGCUUCAUUGCUGCCUUCUAUAGCUAUGAGCAAGUGAGAAGAGAAGCGGUCAUGGUUGAGGUGGGUGAGAAGAGAAGUGGCAUAGGCUGAGGGGGCAGUCAUGGUCGGGAUGAGUGAGAAGAGAAGCGGCAUUGAUCUUGUGGCAUUCGGAGGA
rnacentral:lncRNA from 1 species